rnacentral:rRNA from 1 species
AUUGAACGCUGGCGGCAGGCCUAACACAUGCAAGUCGAACGAGUGGCGGACGGGUGAGUAAUGUAUGGGAAACUGCCUGAUGGAGGGGGAUAACUACGGGAAACGGUAGCUAAUACCGCAUACCAUCGGAUGAGCCCAGGUGGGAUUAGCUAGUAGGGUGGGUAAAGGAUCACCUAGGCGACGAUCCCUAGCUGGUCUGAGAGGAUGACCAGCCACACUGGAACUGAGACACGGUCCAGACUCCUACGGGAGGCAGCAGUGGGGAAUAUUGCACAAUGGGCGCAACCCUGAUGCAGCCAUGCCGCGUGGAUGAAGAAGGCCUUCGGGUUGUAAAGUACUUUCAGCGGGGAGGCGUUACCCGCAGAAGAAGCACCGGCUAACUCCGUGCCAGCAGCCGCGGUAAUAC